rnacentral:antisense_RNA from 1 species
ACUGUAAAAUUUUUACUCUAUACAAUCAACCUAUUGAAUACACGACCUGAUAGGCUGUAUUUCGUUCAAACAAUAGGUGUUGGUGUUGAUCUGUGAAAGAAGAUAAAGAAAAAAAUGAAGAGAAAAAAAGAAACCACUUGGUGCGUCCGAGUGGACUCGAACCACCGACCCCCACCA